rnacentral:rRNA from 1 species
GGUCAACUGAUGAAUUGCUUUGGAAAUGGAUGAUUGAGUGCAGAGAGGAAGUGGAACUCCAUGUGUAGCGGUGAAAUGCGUAAAUAUAUGGAAGAACACCAGUGGCGAAGGCGGCUUUCUGGACUGUAACUGACCUUGAGGCUCGAAAGUGUGGGUAGCAAACAGGAUUAAAUACCCUGGUAUCCCACACCGUAAACGAUGAUGGCUAAUGGUUUGAGGGUUUCCUCCCUUGUAUGCCACCUCUAACGCAUUAAACUCUCCCCGUGGGGAAUAACACCGCGGGGUUGAAUCUCAAAAGAUUUGAGGGGCACCCGCACAAGCGGUGGAACGUGUGUUUUAUUUCAAAACCACGCAAAAAAUUUUACCAUCUCGUGACAUCCCUUGACUUCUCCAAAAAUGGAACGUUCCUUUCGAGGACAAGGUGACAGGGGGUGCGUGGGUGGCCAGCUCUCGUGUCGUGAUAUGUUGUUUUAACUCCCGCCGCGAGCGCACCCCUUAGUACUAUUUGCUAACUUUUAUUUGGACUCUCUAGUGACAGUGCCGGAGACACAGCAGAGGAGUGUGGAGAUGACGUCAUAUCAUCGUGCCUCAUAAGAUGUGCGCUACACACGUGCUACUGUGUGGUAUACCACG